rnacentral:rRNA from 1 species
UGAGGAAUAUUGGUCAAUGGACGCAAGUCUGAACCAGCCAAGUAGCGUGCAGGAUGACGGCCCUAUGGGUUGAAAACUGCUUUUAUAUGGGGAUAAAGUGGGGAACGUGUUCCCUUUUGCAGGUACCAUAUGAAUAAGGACCGGCUAAUUCCGUGCCAGCAGCCGCGGUAAUACGGAAGGUUCGGGCGUUAUCCGGAUUUAUUGGGUUUAAAGGGAGCGUAGGCCGUUUGGUAAGCGUGUUGUGAAAUGUAGGAGCUCAACUUCUAGAUUGCAGCGCGAACUGUCAGACUUGAGUGCGCACAACGUAGGCGGAAUUCAUGGUGUAGCGGUGAAAUGCUUAGAUAUCAUGAAGAACUCCGAUUGCGAAGGCAGCUUACGGGAGCGCAACUGACGCUGAAGCUCGAAGGUGCGGGUAUCGAACAGG